rnacentral:rRNA from 1 species
UACGAAGGGGGCAAGCGUUGUUCGGAUUUACUGGGCGUAAAGCGCAUGUAGGCGGGUCGUUAAGUCGGGGGUGAAAGCCCAGAGCUCAACUCUGGAACUGCCUUCGAUACUGGCGACCUGGAGCAGGUCAGAGGCGAGUGGAAUUGCGAGUGUAGAGGUGAAAUUCGUAGAUAUUCGCAGGAACACCAGUGGCGAAGGCGACUCGCGGGGACUUUGCUGACGAUGAGAUGCGAAAGCGUGGGGAGCAAACAGG